GUGACGUCAUACACUUGUAAAAUUAAAGUUUCAUUUUCACUUUUGUUUCUAAGAAGUGAACUUACAUUUUCAGAAAAUGUAGGACUAUCUUUUGUUUUUACUCUCUUUUUUCUAUGAUGAUUUUCCUACUGUGAAGCUUUUCUUGAAUAAAGCUCAAUUUCUCUAUGACCACGGAAGUAAACAUCCUGAUGCAUUCUUAUCAUGUGAAUGUUGAGAGCGGGUUAAUUUUUGAAAUAUCUUUUCUGCCAGACCUAUUUCACAGGAUCAGCUGAGAUGUUAUUUCACUGGAUUAUUUAAUGGAUAGGCUUGUUGGGCAUAUAGUUGGAUAUCUCUGGAUCAGCUGAGAUGUUAUUUCACUGGAUUAUUUAAUGGAUAGGCUUAUUGGGCAUAUAGUUGGAUAUCUCUGGAUCCGCUGAGAUGUUAUUUCACUGGAUUAUUUAAUGAGUAGGCUUAUUGGGCAUAUAGUUGGAUAUCUCUGUCAUCAACAUGGAAGAUAUGGUUUGUUCCUAACCAUCUAUAAUCAAUUCUCUAUGAAGUUCAGACUGUCUGCUGUUCCUUUGGAUAUACACAGUUAGUCAACCAACAUAGAAACACACAAACUUGAAGGAUUCUCUAGUGAGGGCUUAUGGAAAUGAUCUAUGUCUACUCUCAGAAUGGUGAAAGACUAUCAGAUUAUGCAAAGACUAACAGAAUAUCCUCUCUUGGAACACUGAAACAAGAAAAUCAAACAGGAGAUGGAUGGAGGAUUUAAGAAGCACAUAGAUAAAUAUGAUUUCCAACUAAUUUAAUCAGUAUUAUCAUAGACUGUGGUUUACAGGAUGACAAAGAAAGGACUCAGGAUUGUAUCUUUCACUGUCAGACACUGACUAUGGAUAAAGGGUAAUCAUUUAUUAAACUGAGAUCUAGUCAAAUCAAGUACAAUUGUAUUGAAAAUAUGAUUUUCUGAUAGCAUGAACGCUUUAAAAAUUAAUUCUCACAGACCUCAAAGUAUCUGAAUGUGACUUUUAUUUUUACCAAUUCCUAUUGAAGACUGUUGUUAUGUAUGAGAAGUAUACAUUUAAACCUUUUAUUUUUCAUCUUAUUUCUAUACCCCCCUAGAAAUUACACAGAUAUUCAGAUGCUGGAUUUAAUAUUAUUAUUUAACUUUCCUGGAAUGGUAAAUAUAUUUUGUUUGUGUAUGUAUCAUGUUUAAUUUUAAAUUUAAAAUUGGUCUCAAUAAGACCCCCAAUAAAGAUGCAAGUGUCCCAUAAUCUGUGGUUUAAUAAUAUAUUGAAUAUCUUUAUCAUACCAUAUUCAUCAUACUAAUUACAUAUAGAAUGAUUGUAGGAAUACACUUUGUUGUUUAGGACACUUUGUCAAGGUCAAAGCAUAAGGUUAUUGAGAUAACUACCUUUGACAAUAAUUUGUAACUUACAAACUUCACAUCAUAAGUACACAGAUGAAGAAUCAAUAAGAUAUUUCUAUAUAGAUUUUUUGGAUCAUUUACUCCUGGGUAAAAGUUAGUUACUUACUGAGAUUAGGCUGAUUUGAGUCCUGUAAUGCAAUAACUUAAACAUUGUGUGAUAACUUAUAGACUUUAUAAAAAUUAGGUGCAAAUUCUUAGGAAAGGAUUGAAAUGUUAAUCAAAUGUACAAUGUUCAAGGGUGUUUAUAUGACUAUUACUAUGUAAUACCUAGGGUUUCUGUAAAAAUCCUAUAUUCACUACUUAGAUAAAGACAGGUAUAAUAUAUAUUUUAAACUAUGAUGAAGGGAAAAAAAAAAGUUCAAAAGCUCUCCCCUUCAUAUCUUUCAUAUUCUGUCAAACACAACAAUAGAUAAAUUGCAGUCAUUUAACAAACUGAGGUCUAAUCAAAUCCUAGAAUUGAUAUAAUUGUGAUUUUCUGAUAGUAUGAGAUCUUCAAAAAAAAAAAAUAAUUCCCAGACUUCAAAGUAUCUAAAUGUGACUUUUAUUUUUACCAAUUCCUAUUGAAGACAGUUGUUAUGUAUGAGAAGUAUACAUUUAAACCUUUUAUUUUUCAUCUUAUUUCUACAACCCCUAAAUGCUAGCUUUGGUGUAAUUAUUACUUUCCUGGAACUGUAAAUACAUUUUGUUUGUGUAUGUGUGUGUCCUAUUUUGAAUUUAAUAGGUCUCAAUAGGACCCCCAUAAAGAUUUAAGUGUCCCCUGAUCUGUGAUGUAAUAAUAUCUUGAAUAUUUCUAUCAACCAUUAGACUUCAUGCUUACUACAAAGAACAGGUUAGAGUAAUACAGUUAGUUUUAUUGGACACUUUGUCAGGGUCAAAGCAUGAGAUUGUUGAGAUAACUACCUUUGACAAUAAUUUGUAACCUGCAAAAUUCACAUCAUAACUAAAGAAAGAUUCGGAGAUUUUUGGAUCAUUUUUCUCCUGGGUAAAAUUUAGUUGUUGUAACUUUAACAUUUUGUGAUAACCUAGAGACUUUACAUCAGCUCUAUUGGGUGGCAUAGCAUAUUCUUUGGAAAGAAUUGAAAUGUAAAUCAUAUGCACUAUGUUCAAGGAUGUUUAAAGACUAUUACUAUGUAAUACCUUAGAAUUCUGUAAAAAAAAAAAAAAUUUAUCGCUGCGUAGAUAAAGACUGGUUGGAAUAAUUUAUGUUUUGAAAUAAGGUUUAGGGAAAAAAGUCAAGAAUGUGGAUAUGACUUUUAUUCAAAUGGUGCAUUACAGCAACUCUGGUGAUUUACAUACCUUCAGUCAUAAAUACAUGUAGAUAGGUAUUUGGAAGACUCCUCUAGAUUUUGAAAUUUUUAAUUCAAAAGUAUAGAUUUUUUAUUUUAAGUUUGAAAGAUUAAAUGGCAGCAUAUCAUUUGCUUGUGAAUUAAAAAAUAAAUCCAAACAUAUACAUCUUUGGAUGAUAAUUGUAGCAUUUUAUCAAUUCCUGGACUUCGGUCUUGAUAUCAUCCUUAUAUGUCCUUAAAAUUUUAAUGACUGUCUUUUACUUUU